rnacentral:rRNA from 1 species
UGGGGAAUAUUGCACAAUGGAGGAAACUCUGAUGCAGCGACGCCGCGUGAAGGAAGAAGGUCUUCGGAUCGUAAACUUCUAUCAGCAAGGAAGAAAAUGACAGUACUUGACUAAGAAGCCCCGGCUAACUACGUGCCAGCAGCCGCGGUAAUACGUAGGGGGCAAGCGUUAUCCGGAAUUACUGGGUGUAAAGGGUACGUAGGCGGUAUAGUAAGUCAGAUGUGAAAGCCCCGGGCUCAACCUGGGGACUGCAUUUGAAACUGCUUUACUAGAGUGCAGGAGAGGUAAGUGGAAUUCCUAGUGUAGCGGUGAAAUGCGUAGAUAUUAGGAGGAACACCAGUGGCGAAGGCGACUUACUGGACUGUAACUGACGCUGAGGUACGAAAGCGUGGGGAGCGAACA